UACAGAGGUCUCAAGCGUUGUUCGGAAUCAUUGGGCGUAAAGGGCGUGUAGGCGGUCUGUUAAGUCAUGUGUGAAAUCCCUCGGCUCAACCGGGGAGCGACGCAUGAAACUGACAAGCUAGAGUACCAAAGAGGGGGGUGGAAUUCCCGGUGUAGCGGUGAAAUGCGUAGAUAUCGUAAGGAAGACCAGUGGCGAAGGCGGGUCUCUGGACAGUUCCUGACGCUGAGGCACGAAGGUCAGGGGAGCAAACGGG
rnacentral:rRNA from 1 species